GCUGGGCUCAGUGGUGCAUGCCUGUGGCCCCAACUAUUCAAGAUUGCUUGAGUGCAGUAAUCUGGGGCUGUUGUGUGCUAUACCAACAGGGUGUAUGCACUAAGCUUGGCAUCAGUAUGGUGAUCUCCCAGGAGUGGGGGACCCCCACGUUUCCUAAGGAAAGGUGAACCAGCCCAGGUCAGAAACUGAGCAGGUCCAAACUCUCCUCCUAAUCAGUAGUGAGACCAUGCCUGGGAAUAGCCUGUAGUCCAGCCCCAUAUAGCAACACUCUGU
rfam:Otolemur garnettii contig052084, whole genome shotgun sequence.